AUUAAAUUUGGUAGUUGAGUUUAUAAGAUAUGCCUUAGAAGCCUGUACCUAACCUAUGAUAGAACUGGGCUAGCCUUGGAACCUCGGCACUGUUUAUAACAUUGUUACUAAGGAGAAAUACAUUUCAAAACACAGCUCAGAAAGUCACUUAACACCCUCCCUCCACACUUUCAUUCCAUUUGGUUCACAAGAGGAAGGGAACACAUGGCUGAGGAAUGCUCUUGCACUCCAGAGAAUGCAAGUUCCCUGACCACAGAGGUUGGGUCUUUUAAAGAACCUACUGUGUGCUGAGCGCUGUUGUAAGCACUGAGAAAUAAAGAACAAGAGAGGCGAAGUCCCUGAUGUCUCGGAGUUUAUGGUCUUAUGCGAAAGACCAUCAGAGAGCAUCAUCUAACCACGUCGGCAGUUCCCAACACACCAGCUUACAAGUGCACCUCAAAGCCUAUAUUGGUCCAUUGCUUCUUUCACUUGGCAAGCAGCUACUUUCUGCUCACUUCAUUCCCCUGUGAAGAACCUCACACCUGUAAUCCCAGCAUUUUGGGCAGCCAAGGCAGGAGGAUUGCUUGAACCCAGGAGUUUGAGACCAACCUGGGACAACAAAGUGAGGAACUGCAUCUCUACAAGAGCUUUAAAAAAAAUAAUUAGCCGGCCCUGCUGGCGCAUGCCUGUAGCCCCUCACUAUCAGGGGCCCUUAUCCUCACAUUCAUCCACAUCAGGUUCAACCUCUUUCUCCUGGCCCCUCCCUCCACCAAUAUGAGGUUUCAAAACAAAACAAAAAACCAGAAUGUAGUUCCUCUUCACAAAUUUGGGAACAUCUGAUCUGGUGGUUCCUAAAUUAUAAAAUGGAGUAAUGGAGAGAACAUAUACCUGGGUAUCACUCAGAUCCAGGUCAACUAUGGCUCUGAUUUACAAACUCUUGAGGAAGCCCUCAAUCUCUUGAAGGUUCGAUUUCUUUAUCUCUAAAUUAGAGAUAAUAAUGUUUAUCCUACAGAGCUGUUGUAGAGAUUAAAUAAAGUCACAUUUAAAAUGUAUUUACCACACUGCCUGGCUCAUGCUAGAUACUUAUUCCUUUCCAUCUUUCAAUGAAAUUACAUUUCCUAGCUUCUGAAUUAUUGUUCUUUAUUUAUUAGGCUGGUGCAAAACCUAGCUUAAUUGAAACUGACACAUCUUAUCAAAUAUCUGAUGUUCUUAAGUAGGUUUUAUUCUAAUAUGUGAGCUAUAUGAAACAUUAGUGACAAGGUUGACCACUUUAUUGUUUAUACAAUAUUACUCAGAAAAUAUAUGUAUUUGGAAAAUAUUAUUUUGAUCAGAAAUAUUACCAAUUUAUCUUCUCAGUUUAUGUAAUUCAUAAUAAUUCUGGGAUUAAUUGCCUCCAAAUUGGAUAUCUUUUCAAGAAAACUGGUUGUCAUCCAUUGUUACAUGUAGCCUGAAU
rnacentral:lncRNA from 1 species